rnacentral:rRNA from 1 species
CCUACGGGUGGCAGCAGUGGGGAAUAUUGGGCAAUGGGCGCAAGCCUGACCCAGCAACGCCGCGUGAAGGAAGAAGGCUUUCGGGUUGUAAACUUCUUUCGUCAGGGAAGAGUAUAAGACGGUACCUGACGAAUAAGCUACGGCUAACUACGCGCCAGCAGCCGCGGUAAUACGUUGGCGGCAAGCGUUAUCCGGAUUUACUGGGAGUAAAGGGGGCGCAGGCGGCAAUGCAAGCCAGGCGUGAAAGCCCGGGGCCCAACCCCGGGACUGCACUUGGUACUGCAUGGCUAGAGUACCGGAGAGGCGGGCAGAAUUCCAUGUGUAGCGGUGAAAUGCGUAGAGAUUAGGAGGAACACCGGUGGCGAAGGCGGCCUGCUGGACAAUGACUGACGUUGAGGCCCGAAGGCGUGGGGAGCAAACAGGAUUAGAUACCCCUGUAGUC